rnacentral:lncRNA from 1 species
GUGAGAUCAGUGACCGAUGUGCAUGCACAGAGAGGCGACUGGAGGCUGAAGAGCUUCCUUUGUUUGGCUGCUGUGGCCUGCUCUCUGGGGUGGAGGGGUAGGUCCACGGGGAAUGCAAACGUAAGCCCCUCCUGGAUUUCAGCACCAGAUUGUAUUGGUUCGAACCCUGAAAGCAUGCCAACAGACAACAUGAGGUGAUGUGGAGCAACAUGCUGUUUUAAUGAGCACCUGGGUACAGUCCCAAUAUCAUCACCAGAUGAGAAUAUGUAUGGAUUCAUGAACAAGAAAAUUGCUUAACCAUUUGAUCAAGAGAGAUUGGAAAAUCAAGAUGAAGCAGGUCUGGGUGAAAGAGCUGUGAAUGGAUUAAUGGAACAGAAAGGAGGUGUGGAGAUCCUUCUAUUACAUGUUAAUGAUCACCAGGGAACAUCCACUACAAUAGAACAUCCCACUAAAUCACCAGUAGACACAAGAGAAUAUGUGGCCAGUUGACUUUGGCCAGCCUCUGUCAUUAGAUGUCAAUGUUCAAACAACGGUACAUGAAUGGCAUAGCCCUGGUAGCAGGAGUGGGGGCUAUGCAUGGAUCCAGCAAUACACACUCCCACUCCACAACAUUGACCCAGCCACCAAGGCUGACAAAAUAUUCAACCUUCCAGCAACAGAAACCAAGGAUGACCCUUAUCCCUGCCCAGGGCCUCAGCUGGCACCAGCAUCUAAAGGCUUAGAGAGUUAGUGAUCCACCAACAUGGCAUCUCACAUAACAUCCCAUCAAACCAAGUGACCCACUUUACUAGAAAUGAGGUGCACGAGUGGACAAGCUCCAGCUUGACCCAAGUGGAACAAGCUCUACUAGUCCCAUCAGAUCAUGCACCAUCCAGAAGCUGCCACACUAACAGAGUGAUGGAAAGGCCUGUUGAAGGCAUAGUGGAUGAGCCACACCAUUGCAAGGUAAUGUCAUCGGAGGUUUAUUUAGCAUGUGUAUUACACCCAGAAGAAUGGUGUCCCAUCCUUGCAAGGUAAUGUCAUCAUCAGAUUCUCCUGGGUGUAAUAUACAUGCUAAACAAACAAUCAUUAUAUGAUGCUGUGUCCCCAAGAGGUAAAAUAUGUGGGAGCUAAGGAGUGGAAGCAGCAAUAGCCUCACUUACCAUCAAUACAAUUGACUCCUUAGGGAACUUGUGCCUAGGCUCUGUGGGUUUAGAGGUCCUGGUGCCCAAAGGAGAUGUGCUUCCAUCAGGGAAUACAACAAGCAUUCAAUUGAACAUGAGGUUAAGGCUGCCACUUGGGAGCAUCAGGCUCCUCAUGCCAAGAGAUCACCAAGCAAAAAGAGGAAUCACCGUACCAUGAGCAUUAAUCAAUCCCAUUCUUCAGAAGGAGAUGGGACUGCUGACACAAGGCCACAGAGAGGCCCCCAGAUAACUUGCCUGGGUGUCCCUUAGAAUUCCCUUGCCCAUUUUUUAAUAAUAGAUGGAUAAAUGCAACAGUCUCCACCUAACAAAGGCAUAAUGAUGGGACUUCUCAAGAGUGAGAAGCUAGGUCAUUCCACCAGCCAAGUAGACCAGCAGAGGUACCAAAAAGAGACAGGAAAUCUAGACUGUAAAGUAAAACAGGAAGAUUCCCCAGGAACAGAAGCCAACUGUGAUCCUAGAGGAGCUUCUCCUUAACAUGCAGAAAGAAGUGGAUCCAUGAAGCACAAGAGCUGAGCUGUCAUGGAAACUGCACAUCUCAAAUUUCCCAUCAGGACUGAAGGACCUAGUCCCCCACAGGCUGAAGACAGUCACCUUACCCAACUUCAUGCUCUCUUCCAGGGGCAGCCUGCAUCCAACAACUUGUCAGCACAGGACUAUAAAGGCCUUACCCUUUGCCUCUGUGAAGCAUCCCACAGAGAGGUGCAUCCACCUCUGAAGGUACAUCCCAGCUUCAGGCUCCCAGUCACUUUGGGCUUACCCAGCCUCUUCGUCUGCCCUGCUUUUCUCCCUCCCCUUCCUUCCUGCAGGUUUGGAUCCUGAGAGCACUCCCUAAUAAACCUCAUGCCCACAAAUCUCUAUCUUGGAAUCUGCUUCUUCGGAACCAAAUCUGGGACAGAUCAAUUUACAAAGAUAGAAGGGUUUAGGAAGGCAAAAGGGUUUCUGUUACCAUGUCUAGGCCUGAAGGGACAAAGAGAGGAACUUGGAGCAAGAGCCAUAUGGAAAAAACAAUCUGAAAGAUUGUAGGGAUUCUGGCAGAAGCACAAGGCCAAGCCCUGGCAAUCCCCACCUCACAUCCCUCCGCUCUUUCAUCUCCCCUUAGUGCCUCCCAUUGUAGAACCAAACUGGAAGUGGUGGUCAGUGGAUUCCUUUGUCUGUUUCUUAUAGGUCAGCCUCCUGGGGCAGAGAGCAUGUUAGAGUGUGGAUUUGGAGGUGCAAAUGAAAGUUACCCUGUAGCCCACUUGACUCUGUAGAUUUCUUUUUCUCUUACAGAAAAUAAAUUAAAUUAUGUAUCUUCUUUAGAGAUAGGGUAUGACUUCUAUUUUGAGUUAUCUGUGUCAUUUAAUUAAUAUACAAAUAAAAUGACAUGACAGAAAAUACUUACUUGAAUACAAAGGACAAGUAAUUAGAUCUUAGAUAAUAAAUCCAUCCCUUUAGAUAAGACUUUAGGCAAAUGGAUUUAUAAGUAAAAGCAAUAGGAAAACUUGCUACCUAAGCAUGAAAAAUGAUGUUCCUGAUAAAUUCCUGGAAGGAAGCUGGUGUCAGCCCCCAACUCCUUUCUAGGCCUCUACCAGCCUAUAUUCCAAAUGGCCCUGCCAUGGCUCUUCUUUUCUUAAGAUUUGAUCUUUCUCCAGGCAUGGAUGAACCACAUGUAAGACAUUUAAACAGCCCAGGUGCCAAAUUUAGUAGGGCUUAGGAUUACACAACAUUCCCAAACCUGGGAUCUGAAGGGCCAGGUGCUGACCAACAGGAUCCCAAAUUCAUCCCAGGGGCUCUUUGACCGAUAACCAGAAUGUGAAUUCAACUGCUGGAUGACCCCAUGCAAAGCUCUCCCUGGCGCUGAGUAAUCCAGUUCCCUUUUCAUUAAAAGCCAUCUACUUUCCCAGGAGGGGGAAUCCUUCUGCACAGCCCAUUCCUAUGACUAAGCUCUGUGUUCACAAGGAAGAUCUCCUCUCAGUCCUGCUAUGCCCCCACUGCUGAGCUUGGAACCCCAAUACUAAGUAUAGCCUGUGUCACAAUUGUUCUUGCUGAGAUCUUCUACUAUUGCCUGAACACAACUCAUUCCUGAUCCCCUCUAGUGAGUAUGUCCCUGGCCAUUUUUCAGCACUUUUAUCCUCUUUUCUUGCUCUGAGUUUUCAUGGACAGGGUAUCUAGGAAAAGGAAAAGGAAGAAGGAAUAAAUCAAAUGCCUACAGACCUUCAAAGAGUGCUCCAAAGCCAGUGUAAAGCACUGGGGAACAGUGAGGAUUAGGGCAAAAUAUUUCUUAUAAUGUUCUGAGUUUCAUGAGUUGAAGGCUUUAGUGCUUAAUGUCCAAAUGAUGCAAAUGAAAACACCCUUUCAUUCUUCUUUUCCUUUUUAAAAAACAAGGAAGAAGACAGUCAAAGCCUCAGUCUAUACUAUAUUUACACUUGACUCAAAUGCAUUAAUAACAUUGUAGACUAAGGAGGUAUCUGGGGGAAAAAUAGUUUUGUGAUUUAACUGUAGUGCAAAUUUUACCUAGUAAAAGGUUUUUGAUAUUUAUCCUCAGAGAAGAUCUA